AGACCGAAAAAAUUCGGUUAACCGACCGAUUAACUGAAUUCGGUCGGUUAACUGAAUUUUUUCGGUUUUACCCGAAUUAUGCACACCCCUACUCAUCUUUCCUCUUCUCCCUCUCUUAGUUUCUUCUCUUUUCCUUCACUGAGCCGCCCAUCAAACCUUUUCCUAUUGCCGCCCUUCCCUCCUCUAUUGGCGGUGACCUUUUGAACAUUUUUUCUCCUCCCUAUUGCUUUCAUUUUUCAUUAAUUUUCCAGCCUCAAAUCUAUCACUUUUACCACUCGAAAUUAAGCCUCCAUUGCUGCCACAAGGUGCAGCAUUUCUGCUCUUUGAUAUCUCUCGAGAAUAAUGGAUCCCCAUUGUUCUGACAAAUUGGGAAACGAAAGUGCAGUUGUUUACAGGUGCAGAUCUAAAUGACUUGAACCAGCAGUGAAGACGUUUACCUGUCGCACCCUCGCUUCAUACUGAAUCAGUGUACGAGUUAAUGUUAAGGGAGGACACGCAGACUUCACAAAGUAGUGCUACGGUUUUACGAUUUUAAGGUGUGGGUUCUAACUCGUAAAAUUAAUUGUUAAAAUUAUGUUUUUUGUGUUUAAAUUAAUGUUUAAGUUAGAUGGCCAGACUUAUUUAAAUUUUUAAAUAGCAUGAAUGCAAAAAUUGGCAUGGUUGACUGAUUAAUUGUAUGUAUGGUAUUUAUAUGAUUUUAAAUGGUUGAUAAGGAUAUUAAUGGUUGCUGGUUAAAUGCAUAGUAUGAGACACAAGCAAUUAUUAUUCGAUUGAAUGUGUGAAAUGUAUGUCUAGUUAUGAUGCUAUUGCAUGAAUGAUUGAAAGCCUGUGACCUGAAAUUGUUAUUGUAGCAUGAUUAAAUGUCAUUGCAAUGAUUAUGAAACUAUAUGCAUGUCAAACAUACCAUUGGACUGAAUUGAAUGAGAUAUUGAAAGCAUGUAUAACAUGCCAUUGAAUUGAGACUGAAAUAGAAGCAUGAUCUUACUUGUUUCUUGUAUGUCAUAAUGCAUGAGCAUGGGGUGAGAUAUUGUGGAUGACGGAAGAGUUUCGUGGAGUACCAGCGGCAAUUAAAGUCUGCAUUAUUGUUGUCAGUGCACUGCACCAGGAGUACUGAGGAGAUUGGUGAUUUUAUCACAUAUUGAUUGGUAGUCUAAUAUGCAUUUACUGUACUGAUGGCUUGUCCACAAAAUUGGCAGCUUGUCUGCAUAUUGAUUGGCAGUAUAACUGUAUUGUUUAAAUUGGUGGUUUAAUCGCAUUAAGCUCAACUCACAUUAUUCGAAGAUUGGCAGAUGAGUUCUAGGGAACUCGUGGAGUGUAGCGGAUGGAUGGGUAGGAACCUUUUUGCAUUGCAUCAUGCUCAUGAAUACUCAAAUGUUAUUGAUUUAUGUUACGUGUUGUAUUGUAUUGAAUUAGUGAAUGCUAUCCGUAUGUAUGAAUGUGUGUUUACACUUUUAAA